rnacentral:rRNA from 1 species
UACGUAGGGACCAAGCGUUGUUCGGAUUUACUGGGCGUAAAGGGCGCGUAGGCGGCGCGGUAAGUCACUUGUGAAAUCUCUGAGCUUAACUCAGAACGGCCAAGUGAUACUGCAGUGCUAGAGUGUGGAAGGGGCAAUCGGAAUUCUUGGUGUAGCGGUGAAAUGCGUAGAUAUCAAGAGGAACACCUGAGGUGAAGACGGGUUGCCGGGCCAACACUGACGCUGAUGCGCGAAAGCCAGGGGAGCAAACGGG